ensembl:misc_RNA 7SK 7SK RNA
GGAUGUGAGGGUGAUCUGGCUUGGCUAGAAAGGUGUUCCCUUCCUCCCUCCCAGCUCCAUAUGCGUUCCUCCCAAAGCUGCGCACUUGGUUGAAGAGGACCACCUUCUCUUCUAGAGGAGGGCCAUUCUUUGGUCAAGGGUAUAUGUGUAGCUUUGCUUCUCUGCUAGAACCUCAAAACAAGCUCUCAAGGUCCAUUUGCAGGAGAACGUAGGGUCGUCAAGCUUCCAAGACUCCAGACACAUCCAAAUGAGGCAUUCCAUGUGGCAGUCUGCCUUUCUUU